GAUUGCAGGCUGCAACCCGCCUGCAUGAAGUCGGAAUUGCUAGUAAUCGCGGAUCAGCAUGCCGCGGUGAAUACGUUCCCGGGCCUUGUACACACCGCCCGUCACACCAUGGGAGCCGGUAAUACCCGAAGUCAGUAGUCCAACCUCGUGAGGACGCUGCCGAAGGUAGGAUUGGCGACUGGGGUGAAGUCGUAACAAGGUACC
rnacentral:rRNA from 1 species